rnacentral:rRNA from 1 species
AUUGAACGCUGGCGGCAUGCUUUACACAUGCAAGUCGAACGGCAGCGCGGGGCAACCUGGCGGCGAGUGGCGAACGGGUGAGUAAUACAUCGGAACGUACCCAGACGUGGGGGAUAACGUAGCGAAAGUUACGCUAAUACCGCAUACGUUCUACGGAAGAAAGUGGGGGACCUUCGGGCCUCCUGCGUUUGGAGCGGCCGAUGUCUGAUUAGCUAGUUGGUGAGGUAAGGGCUCACCAAGGCGACGAUCAGUAGCUGGUCUGAGAGGACGACCAGCAACACUGGGACGGAGACACGGCCCAGACGCCUACGGGAGGCAGCAGUGGGGAAGUUUGGACGAUGGGCGCAAGACUGAUCCAGCAAUGCCGCGUGAGUGAAGAAGGCCUUCGGGUUGUAAAGCUCUUUUGUCAGGGGAGAAACGGCUGAGGUUAAUACCUUUGGCUAAUGACGGUACCUGAAGAAUAAGCACCGGCUAACUACGUGCCAGCAGCCGCCGCGGUAA